rnacentral:rRNA from 1 species
CCUACGGGAGGCAGCAGUGAGGAAUAUUGGUCAAUGGACGGAAGUCUGAACCAGCCAUGCCGCGUGCAGGAAGACGGCUCUAUGAGUUGUAAACUGCUUUUGUACAAGGGUAAACCUGAAUACGUGUAUUCAGCUGAAAGUACUGUACGAAUAAGGAUCGGCUAACUCCGUGCCAGCAGCCGCGGUAAUACGGAGGAUCAAAGCGUUAUCCGGAUUUAUUGGGUUUAAAGGGUGCGUAGGCGGAUUGAUAAGUUAGAGGUGAAAUGUCCGGGCUUAACUCGGGAACUGCCUCUAAUACUGUUGUUCUAGAGAGUAGAUGCGGUAGGCGGAAUGUAUGGUGUAGCGGUGAAAUGCUUAGAGAUCAUACAGAACACCGAUGGCGAAGGCAGCUUACCAAUCUAUAUCUGACGUUGAGGCACGAAAGCGUGGGGAGCAAACAGGAUUAGAUACCCCUGUAGUC